rnacentral:rRNA from 1 species
CCUACGGGUGGCAGCAGUAGGGAAUCUUCCACAAUGGGCGAAAGCCUGAUGGAGCAACGCCGCGUGGGUGAAGAAGGUCUUCGGAGCGUAAAACCCUGUUGUUAGAGAAGAAAGUGCGGGAGAGUAACUGUUCACGUCUCGACGGUAUCUAACCAGAAAGCCACGGCUAACUACGUGCCAGCAGCCGCGGUAAUACGUAGGUGGCAAGCGUUAACCGGAUUUAUUGGGCGUAAAGGGAACGCAGGCGGUCUUUUAAGUCUGAUGUGAAAGCCUUCGGCUUAACCGGAGUAGUGCAUUGGAAACUGGGAGACUUGAGUGCAGGAGAGGCGAGUGGAACUCCAUGUGUAGCGGUGAAAUGCGUAGAUAUCUGGAAGAACACCAGUGGCGAACGCGGCUCUCCGGUCUGUAACUGACGCUGAGGUUCGAAAGCGUGGGUAGCAAACAGGAUUAGAUACCCCUGUAGUC